rnacentral:rRNA from 2 species
AUCCAGUAGCAAUACUGGUGAAGAUCUAGCGGCGAACGGGUGAGUAACACGUGAGAAACCUGCCCCGAACUCUGGGAUAACACGAGGAAACCCGUGCUAAUACCGGAUACCUUCUUUUGGCCGCAUGGUCAGAUGAAGAAAGAUUUAUCGGUUUGGGAGGGUCUCGCGGCCUAUCAGCUAGUUGGCGGGGUAAUGGCCCACCAAGGCAUCGACGGGUAGCUGGUCUGAGAGGACGAUCAGCCACACUGGGACUGAGACACGGCCCAGACUCC